CUGUAGGCUUUUGACAACUCUUGACAUUUCAAUUUUUCGCGUCGAUUUUGCUUGUGUGCAGUUUUUAUCGCGUUCUUCAUCAAUUUUAGAUACCUUGCUUUUUAUCGUUCCGGCCACCAGAUUCGUUGGUUUUCAUAAAGUUGCAUUUGCCUGUGCCACUUCCACCCGUGUUUAUAAGGCGUAAUAUUCAACUGGAGAUACUUCAGAGACGAACUUGGCCUUAUUUCGAUGCUAUGUUGUUUUUGAAAGACACGGUCACGCCCAGACAAACAACAACAAACAUCGUCUCCCAAACGCCAGAAGUUCUCGGACAAGAACCAGAUAUACUGGAUACUUCCUUUGGAUUCCAAAUAGGCGAGAGUGGGAACAUUAUAAUAGAAGAGCAAGAAACCACUGCCCCAACGCCGGCUAAGAGACAAAAGAAAAAAAACGAU